rnacentral:tRNA from 1 species
CGGGCCGUAGCGCAGUUUGGUAGCGCGACUGGUUUGGGACCAGUAGGUCGGAGGUUCAAAUCCUCUCGGCCCGACCA